CCCCCAUGGAGCUCCAGCGCUCUCUCUUUAAAAACAUACAGGGUUUCGCAAUUCCUUGGCCUUGCUUGGCCCACCCGCCUGGGUGGGGCUGUUUGCUUCUCAAAGCAAAAUGGCUUCUAUCUUUGGGAAGCUCAUCUAAAAUGGGCAAAGCCACUUUAUUUGUAGGCUAAUCAUAAGGCCAUAAUUGGAUCAGGUCUAUCUGCCCGGAACCCUGAGAUAUUUAUAGCAAGUGCUUUCUCUGAGCCUGCCCCUUCCAUUGUCUACAUCAGAGGGAAAGUCAAAGAGGAAAGAGGCUGGUUAAGUCGUGGGGUAUUGCUUAGGGGUGAUUCAUCAUGGCUGUAUUUUAGCCCUGGGUAGGACAUAUAGAUAGCAAAAAGAGAAAAAGAGAAAGAAGAAAAGAAAAGAGCAGCAUUUUGUGCUGGGAAGCAGGGGAACCACCGUGGACAAAGAAGAUACUUUAGAGUGAGCAUUGUGAGUUGGCACAAGAUAAAACUGGGAAGGUGACCCAGAUCCUAGCCCUGGCUGUCAGGCAGAGUGACCCUGGACCGGUCUGUAGCUCUUCCAUUGUAAAAGCAUUAAAACAACAGAAACAAUGCUGUGGGAUGAGUCUGACACCAAUCACACGACAGCACGUAAGCAUCCAGCAGAAACAGGCUCACUGUCUUGAACUACCUGGAUUUUAACCGAGAAGAGAAUGCAUCCUUAGGGCUAACAGAUGCUUUGGGCCCAACAUCAACCUCUGACACAAUUCAGAGAUUUAUGGAAAUAAGAUAUGAAAAAGAUACAUGAGACCCUCACAAUGAAAGUGUUACUGACAGCAUUCAGAACACAUUGGACUCCUAAUAGCAAAAUGGAAUGUUGAAAAAGUUUAGUUUUGUUGAAAGUUCAUGGAAGAAUGUAGUAGGUAUGCUUUAGGAUGUCUCUCAUCCACAGUACAUUUCCUUAGGAUCAUCCCUUACCAACAGACUCUCCUGAAGCCGAGGGCUUAGGUGACCACAUCUCUAUAGCCAUCACCCCCGCCACAGCUGAUGGAACCAGGGCGACGCCAGUGUCAGCUUGAUAGGGAAUACUGAACACAACCAGACCAAGAUGGUCUCUACGGAAACCAGAAAGCAAGGUCACAGAGGACGUGGGAUGCAAUUGUGUGUGGAAAGCCAAAGGCACGGCAAGCUGGAACUAGAGGGAAGGGGUGGACACAGCAGCGACAGCAAUAAUCGAGGCAGCUGACACUUAUGCUGUGUGUGCCAGCCACCUCUCUCUCUCAGGUCGCACAGCUGGGACGUGGCAGAGGCGGAAGGCAGCCCAAGUGACGCAGCUCUCAAGCUCGCUUACAAAAUCCCCACAAGCAUCCUUCUGCCUCACAGGAAGCCCAGGAGGCAGCUGGAGGGAGGAGGAUGGGAGGGACGUGCAGGAGAAGCAGACCACGAGACGCAGCGGGGCAGGGAGAACAUUGAGCAGCGGCCUCCUGCCUGAGAAGCCUGGCGUCCCAGCUCCAGUCCGCACGUUUAGAAAGACGAGCACCUGCAAUUCAUGAAGGGAACGUCUUCUCAAGGGAAACUCUGCAAGAGGAAACCAAGCUGCCGCGUGAGCUUGGAAUUACUUGGAAUACCCUUGGCUAAAUUACAGCUGCUGAAUCCAGUUUCUUAAGAUGUUGUCUUUUAGGACCUUUGCCCCAAUUUCCUUAAAGGAAUUACUUGUUCAUUUUUCAAGGCUUUUACCCACCUCUAGGACCCUCACCCCACUCAUCACCUGCCUCUGAUGCAAGGCACCACUUACAAGCUGCUGCUCUCCUCGAGAUGAAAAAGCUGGAAUCCUAAACAGUGUGCCAAGUCCUUGGUAUAGCUUUGGGAGGAAGCUGUCCUAUCGUGGAAACGACAUGAGCUGGGAAGCUCCCUUGGUCCCUUGGGUUUGCCAGGGAGGAUCAGACCAAGGGAGCUUCCAGGAAUGCAGGAGCAGGUACACCAAGGAGAGAGCCUUCGUC
rnacentral:lncRNA from 1 species